AAUAAAGGGUGGCUAAGUUGACUCUCCCACUGUAGGACUGCGUGGUCCUCAGGACCUGCGGCAAGCAGCCGUGACCACGACCUCUGCCCUGGCCGUGCCUCCCCACUCCCACCCCAGCCAAAGGGCCAGCGGUACCUCGAGCUUGGCCAGCUCCUCGCCGUCGUGGAGGAUGCGGAAGGAGUAGAGGUGGUCAGGGCUCGGGUCCGGCACCACCUCACAGCCCACCAGGCUGAGGGGCUGCUGGGCCGCUUUGCUGCGGUUCCGGUCCUGGUAGAAGUACAGGUGACUGUCCCUGACGGAGCACCAGCGCGACUUCCACUGGCUGUUCACCAGCACGUUCAGCGUACCGUGCAGCCGUCAUCAGUGAAAGCUCUGAAGACUAGUCUGCAACUUGAGACACUCCUUAAGAUAAGACGGUGGAGACUGCACCCACUGUGUCCUGCGGCAUGUCCUCGGGAACAGGGGGCAGGACGGCCAUGCCACGCUCUGUGUCCUCUAGCCGUCUGUUCGGAUGCUACAGGCAGGGGUCUGCAGAGGGACAGCACACGGCGUGCGCAUGCAGGACCCAUGCAUGAGGACGGGAAGAGGGCGGCAGCCACCCUCGGGGCAUGCACCCCGCCUCAGAGAGGGCCAGGCAGCAGACACGGGAUCGCCGGCAUUCCCGCUCUGGGACAAGCAGUACCCAAGGUGAUCGUGGCGUAAACGACUCCUUCAGGCACCUGCACCCAUCUGGGGACUCCACUGGGGGGAAAUCUGCCAGAAUGAUCUGUGUGGUAUCCAGAAGUACAGACAAAGGCAAGAGGAAGAGAGAGAAGAUGAAGAGAGCAGCAGACCCAAAUGCAGAGACACAAAGAGUUGUGGCGACGCGGCUGCCCUCCCACCAGAAGUUAGUGCGUUCCCAUCGGAGAUGUGGGCUUGUCAGGUGUACCCCAGCCCGGCCAAGGACAUCAUUUCCCAGCCCCUUCCCAUCCAGAGAUGUGACUUCCUGCCACCAAUGGAAGGUGGGUAGAAGCACUGGGUGUCACUCUGGCUGGUGCCUUUAAGGAGCACAUAGAGGUUCUCCACCCUUUCUUUGUGGUGGACUCUGUGGCCUCAGAAGGUGACCGAGCCCACGCUGGACGGAGCCUGCUGACCAGUAACGCCCAGCUGAACUGUUCCGUGAGUGAGAAUCAGAUUUGCAUUGGGUUACUCUAAGCUGCAAGAGGGGUGGUUUGUUACAGCAGCUGCCGUUACUGAUGUCUACUGUCUCUAGCAGGAGACACCAGCGAUGCAGGAGCUCCACCUAAUAGCUCCUGCACAGGCAGGCAGGGCACUUACUAAACUUGUUCAGAGAGAGGACCUGACCCAGGGAAGCAGUGAGCGGACUGCUGAUAAAGCAGGCCAAGAGGCCAAGCAACUGGUCUUUUUCAGGAAGUCAGCAAAAUCGCUGUUGGCCAAAGAAGUAGAGCAAGGGGCGGGAGUCCAAUGGUCAUUUCUGCUGUUGUGACCUGUGCGUCCCACUGGUCAAACAGGUGUGGGUGACAGCAGGCAGGAACCAAGGGCAGGCCGGCUUAUGAUGCAGGGGAGGCCCCCUCUUCGUGAUAAGUAUGACCAGCUCCCCACAAGUCAUCCUCCGUCCUCGGGCUGGCAGGAGACAAAAGGCAACUGGGCUUCUCCCCACCCGCCUUGCUGACCUUGUGAUGACACCCCCCCCACCCCCCGGUUCUGGAUAAAACCAAUAUGAACUCCCAGUCGAGAGACAAACACCGGGAUCCUUCUGACUGCUUGUUUGUGUUGAGAUGAAGUGUCUGCCCCACCAACAGGCCCCCAGGAGCGUCUGGGAGGCAGGCCCCGGCUGGCACAGGCCACACCCCAGAGAGAUGGGCUUCAGACACACGGAGGUGCUCCGCGGGGUGAGUCACUGCUCCCACCUUGCAGACGCACCCAGACAGCCCCACCGCGCGCUCAGCUCCAGUCUGAAAUCACAGUCUGGCCGGUGACUUGGCAACACCUCACAAGCUAAGUGACGUCUGCCCACAAAGCCAGCCUCUUAGAAUAAAAUUCCUUCGGGCCAAAGAAGCCCUCACCUCCCACACAGUUCCCGGGACCGCAGACAGUAGGUAAAGUGUGAAGAAAGAGGACAAGAAUCCCAUGUGGCUCCAAGUGACUGGCCCCAUCUCAUCCCAGGGCCAGUUCUCUGUGACACCAACAAGGCCCCCCUUCGGCCAAGUUCAUUCCCACCACCAGGGAUCCUUACCGCUGACGUCUGCAAGUUGCUUUAUGCUUUCAAAGACCUUUCACUUAACGAAGGAAAGAGAAGGAGAAUCCCCACAACAAGAGCAUUUCUGAUCCAACCUCAUCAGGCUGAGAACCACUGGCCGAGGAGAGAUGACUCCAGCGUGAGCCCUGCCCCCAAAGCAAAGGCCAUCUACCUCAGUUAGAAUCUAAGUGCCGUGACCACCGAACCCCACUGAAUCCUGCGUGCUGCUGAGCUCCUGACUCCUAGAAGUCAUCCCCACAUGGUACAUGGUGGGAGCCCAGUGACUAUUAGUCCAGUGAAAGAACCUGGAAACUGGGCUCUGGCUCAGCCUGACCACAUUUCCAUUGCUUACGGGGCCUUGUGCCUCUCGGCCAACACACCUCUUCUUUGUCACAUUUCUGUGCUGAAUCCAGCAACAUCCAGGCAGGACCACAGAAAGCAUCAGACACAGUAAACCAGCUCCUUGUGGACCACCCCGAGCCCCUUCUUGCAGGUGGGUUGGGUCUGCUGUAGGUCUCAGCUCCCCAGCAGAUCAGAGGCCAAAUGCUCUGUGGCCAGUUCCCAAUUCGGGCCACGCUCUCUAGUAAGAGCCGCCCAGGCUGCCCUGUGUUUCUAGCCAGGGUAAGCGUGCCGGUCACCACCAGAGGAGUUGGCACUGGCAUCCAUGCAGGAAGUGACUGGACCCCCUCCGAGCCCCGUCCCCAGGAUGUACCAUUGAGGGAUGUGUCAUAUGGUUCAGCCUCUUCAUAGUAACCCUCUGGAGACUCGAUCUUUGGGAUGGAGAGCUGCUUCCGUUCUGGAAUCUGUGGUAUGAACAAAUAAAACAAACAUUUUCAGAUACGAUA